GCAAAGGUAGCUCAGCGCAUAGAGCGCCGGUCUUGUAAGCCGGAUGCCGGGGGCUAAAAUCCCCCCCUUUGCC
rnacentral:tRNA from 1 species